rnacentral:lncRNA from 1 species
CAGAGAGGGAAAACACAAUUCCAGAGAGCCUCCCUGGGGGCUGGGAGGAGCUAAGGAGGGUCGUACCAGCACCCAGACCCUCUUAUUCUCUCCCCUUUCUGCUUUCCUCAAACCCCUGGGUCAUCUGUGUCCACAGAGGUGCAUGUUCAGAGCGGUCAUCCAAGCCAUUUUGAUGGACACAACUCACCGUCUCAUGUGGCUACAGACUUGGAGGAUAAAACUUGACAGCAACUUUAGAACUUCCCAGUGGAAGCAACGGGCCAACUGAGAGUCUACGACUAAAGGAAAAUGGACGAGCUUCCCCACAGGCAGUAGGAGUGCCCACCCCAGGGGUCCGGUUUAUCAAGGAAUUUCAAAGCAUCCCCUGCCACGUGCUUCUGACUCCUCCACUACCUCGCUUUGGAAUAAGUGGUUAAAAAAGAGAAACCUCUGUUUAUUGGACUGACGGAGCAACUGGACUUGUUGAGGUUGCAUUGCUCAGGGUGGCUCCAGGCAAGCAGACAGCUGAGAGAGUCAAGAUAAGAAGCGAAGCAUAGAGGAGUUGUAACCUGGUCUUAACCACGGACUUCACCACUGAUUGUAAACAGGAUAACACUGUCUCUCAUACUCUUAUUUCCCAUCGCUAAAAGAGGACAGCAACAAGCUGGCCCAGGGUUCCCUGGGGAACCAGAAAGCCUGGUAGCAGGCAGGCAGGACAGGAAAGCCUGUCGCAGAGAUGCCACCCAUCACAUGCCAAGCCUUCUGCAGCUUCCGGCCCUUCCUGCCGCAAUUCCAAGGAGCACCUUGGCAAAGCUAAACUUCGAUGCUCUCUUAGGAGGUGGAUGAACGCCUGGUCCUCCUCUCCCUUCUCCUCCGUGGCCUCCAGUGCUUGCUCUGGCACCAGCAACCCCAUUUUCUAUCUAUCUAUCUUUGGAGCCCAAGGCUGGAGCUGAUGAAGCUCUCAAGAGGGCAGGUAAGGUUUCAACUGAGCCUCCAAAGGUACCCAGGGAGGCUGACACCAGCCUCACUCGGGGCUGCCAUUUUCUCCUAACUUCAGUGCUAUCACCCUCUGCGGCUUUUUCUGUGGAACUGGACAGAGGAGCAAAGGACUUUCUCCAGCUUCUCCUCCCCAGAUUGGAGCUCUCACCAGAUGGCUUCAGCCAGUAUCUAUCUCAACAAGGGAGCUGCUGCUGUGGCUUGGCCCCGAUUCCUCUUGCCCCCUCUCCCUCCCACGCAUGCUCCUGGUCCUCUAUGUCAGAGCCAGGCCCUCUUUGGUGAGGCCCCCCACCCCACUGUGGUAGACUCUGUGGAAGCUGAAGCAACAAGCACACUUAAGAGAGAGCAGAGGGCGGGGUGUGGUGGCUCAUGCCUGUAAUCCCAGCACUUUGGGAGGCAGGUGGAUCACUUGAGGUCAGGAGUUUGAGAACAGCCUGGCCAAUAUGGUGAAACCCCAUCUCUACUAAAAGUACAAAAAUUAGCCGGGUGUGGUGGCGUGUGCCUGUAAUCCCAGCUACUCGGGAGGCUGAGGCAGGAGAAUCGCUUGAACCUAGGAGGCAGAGGUUGCAGUGAGCCAAGAUUGUGCCACUGCACUCCAGGCUCGGAGAGUGAGACUCUGUCUCAAGAAGCAGUGGGAGGGUGAGCAUUUCAGCUCUGGCCACCUUCAUGCUCCUAUUGUCCUCUGUCAACUGCAAAACCAGGAAGAUAGCAGAGAGUGGCAGGCUAGACAUCACCAAGCAACAGGAAAGAGUCUUCAGUGAGAGAAGGCACCUCCUCUCCCUGGUCAGUAAUGCCUGAGACUUCCCACCAAAGAAUCUGAAGAACAGCUGGAAGGUGAAGCAAAGGCAACCCACAGUGACUAGCCAGAUUUCUCCUACUGUGGUUUUCAUAUGUUACAGCCACUGUGAAAGGAAGCUUCCCCAUGAGCAGGAUUAGGCAGAGACAGGCUCCAAAUCACAUGACCUGAGGCCAUGUAUUGGGGGCCCUGGAGAAGCUGCUGUGUGUUACAGCUCUUUCUGAAACAGGCUCCUCGGACAAGGGUGGCCAUGUACAGUGGCGUGGGUUAUUCACUGCACCAGGGCAGCUGAGGAUCAAUAGGGGCUGAAACCCAGCCUGUGUUUUGCCUGGUCAGCUGGGCAUCUGUGAGGCUGGGCCCACCAGAGGGAGUCUUGUUUUCCAUUUUGGAUGAACGUACAUGGUAGGCUAGUUGCGCCCUGUCGUGGACUUCAGUCAUGUUUAGUUCAGAACCUGGGCCUUAUCAAAUAAGCAGGGUUUGUGGUUUCAGUCUGCAAAAUGACAGGAUGCUUGGCCCAGUGUCCCCAGACAUUUGCUUUGUAUAUCCAAGUCCUGAGUAACCUGGAAUGAAGCUUGCAUUGGAAAGAGAAGCUCAUACAGCACUUCCUCUAUUGACUGGGGAGUACCAGGCCCCUUCGUCACCCAAACUAACAUGGCCCUAAAAGCUUCCAUGAACCAUAUUAAAUGUCUCCUUAGGAUCUCAUGGAAAAGGGGGCAUAUGUGGUCUUAACAGAUAAUCCCUCUAUGUCAUGGCACAACAUAAGACUUGGAAAGAACAAUUUGUUUUUUCCAAGUGUUUCUCUUCUACCAAGAAAAGAAAGGACAUUGGCAUGUUCUGGGGAGAAAUUCUGAAUUCAGAUUCAGUCUUGACAAGCCUCCAGCUGAAUGAGUUAUCCAAUCACCUGGAUCAACAUUAUUUCUUUUUGCCAUCAAUUAAUCCUAAAUGGUAAUUGGCCUCACGUCUUUGGUCCGUGAGCUGCCCAGCUUCACUCCCCUGUUUCCAUUAUUAGCCCCAUGACAUGGGUCAUGUUCUUACACAUCUUUCCCAGCAACACAGGAAUGCUAUUGAACUGGCCCUUCAUUUAGUUUUAUAGCUUGCAGUAUAUAGCAGAUAAAACAUUCACGUAGAUCUUCUCUUAGAGAAAUCAAAUACUUUAGGCAUAUGAUAGUCAGAGAAUGGCUAUCAAAUUGCAAGGCAUAUUGGUUGAUCAGUUAGUUAGUUCUGUUUGAUGAGACCACUGGGCUGUUGAGACCAGAUUCCUGGGUUCCAAUCUUAAGUAAUCUGAGAGCCAACACAUGGGUCAUAUUAUUCCCCAAACUUAGCCACAUCUUGUGGGGCUAUGGUGUCACCCCAAGAGCAGGAGGAGCAUGGAUGGAUGGCAAUCCAUCUCCACCACUGGAACCCCAAAUUCUGAAUGCAUCACCUGUUAGAGUUUCUUGUUCAUAAAAUAGCAGGGAAUUUAGGAAUUUAGUUUUUUUUAAUAGUUUGGGCCUUUUAUCCACACCCUCAGGAGCUUAGGAUACUUUUCUCCUUCAGCUCACUCUGAAACUCCCUCUGGAAGCUCUCCCAUGUGUGCACUUCAGACACUUAGGGGUGUCUUGGUGCUUUCUUGUUCCAAAUGCUUUGCUAACAGACCUUGGGAGAACCCCCAAGCCAACACCACUUCUGGGAUGAAAGGAAAUCAAUAAAUGCUCCUCACAGAGCUUCGCGAGACCAUUCUUGCCUUUCUUGAUACUCACUUCUCUUGAAAAACAGCCUGAAAAUGUCUGGACGUUUUGUCCAAGUACCAGGCUUCCCCUCUCACACCCGUGGCCUGCACGGUCACCCUCAAGAGCUUCCGGGGGCUGUCAAGGCUCUGCUUACACAGGCACCCUUGGCUUGUCAGCAAAAUCCCUAACCAUCCUCCACCCGCACAGUAGCCAGUCCUCAAAAGAGACAAACAGAGAGAGAUGGGAUCCCACUACCUUCUCUCAGGCCAUCAUGGAGUGAAGGAAGUCCCAGAAGCCUUGACUCUGACAGCCCGUGGCAGCUUCUUGGUGUGCGGAGCCACACGGCCAUUGGCAAAGCAGCCAUGAAGAUAGACCAGGCACCCGCAGGCCUUGUGUUCUGCACAUUCUGAUUUCUCAUGAGGAAAGGCCACAGAGAGGGAAGACCGAGGAAGGGAAGGGAUGGAUACCGAUGUUUAAUUAAUUGCCACCCACUAGAGUUAUUUGAGGUUUACAUGUAGCAAAUUCAAGAUAAUGUUUAAAUGCACUUAAAAUGCAUCUAGCUACGACACGUAAAUGACUAGGCUGCUUUCAACCCAGGAGCCUUAGACUUUUUCUUAAAAGGAUGAAAUACGUAUACCAGUCACACAGUAGUCAGGUUUUACAAGGAUUUUCCUCCUCAACAGAGGUGGAACAAAGGCAAGUCAAUAUCAAUGGGCUGCCACCCUUUGGGAAGGGAAUGUGGCCAGCUCCCUGCAUGGGACCCUGCUCCCUGGUUCCCUCUGGUUUGAUGUUCAUGGUACAGGAUGGGCCCCGUGAUUGAGCGGGAUUGAGUAUUUCUUGUGCACUGAGCUCAAUGUUCAAAUCUUGGGCCGACCAGCAUGGAAAGAGGAGAUUGGCCUGUGUUGUUCUACAAACCAUGGUAGAGAGUCUCAGCCAUGCACCCCAGGGAACAGCCACGGACUCCCCACUCCCACCUGUUGCCACGGCUGUCUUUAUGUGCCACUGUGGGGAGCUCUACCUCUCUAGCUGGGGCGUACCAUGAACCUGUAGGAAUCUGAAGCCCAUCUUUACCCAGCCUGUUAGAAUCAAGGCCUGAGGAGGCCGGUAGGACCUUGCCCCCGGGGAGUACCCAGGACACCGCAGGGAUUCAGCUACUUCCCUCCUCUCCCUAUCACACUGUGCACAUGAGGCUGAUGGGGGCUGGAAGGGACUCAUGCAGAGGCGACUAACACACACGCCAGCUAGGCCACAUCGCCAGGACCCAUGCAGCACGGCCGCUUUCUGCACACAGCAAAAGCCGCCUACACAGCAACAUUAGCUCGCGACCCACACCGGCGUGACUGCCAGGGUUCACAGAGGGAAAUUUUGGCUUUUUUUUUUUUUUUCGAUGAGCUAUGGUUCUGAGCCAAUUUAUUUCACGGUAUAGUUCGAUGGCUUCUCCCUGAGCUGCUGCAGAAGAUGCACAAACCGCACAGCCCCGAGGGCAGCAGGGUCCCUCCUCCUCAAAGCCCUGAACAGAUGAUCAAAUGCCCAGGCCUGAGGCUGGGCGAUCAAGGGUGCACCUUCUGCAGAGGGAGCCGCUUGCUCUUUUUUGCAUUUUCAUCCCUAGAAGAGAAGCUGCAGACACUCGCAAAAGAAAAGGGCUGAGUCGAGGGAGAAAGCACUGGACUCCCUCCCACCCCAAAGGAAACAACAACCAAAGGGAAAAAAAAAAAAAAGAAGAAGAAAGAAAAAACCAAAACCAAAAGAAAAGCUGAGGGAAGAAAACCGACUGAACUUACCACACUGCGAGUGAACUUUUCUAGGGAAGUUCUACGACCUUGCUCACUUUCUGGCUUUAGGAAAAAAAAAAAAGGGUAGGGAGAAAAAUACAGAAAAAAAAAAUCUUCAGCUUAUACGUGGUUCCCAAACAGCAGCAGCUGCAGCUAAAGAAUAACAAAAACCAAAGCAAAAUGGGGCGAAAAAUGGGAAAAGAGAAGCAGCCAGAGCUGUUGGAAGAGUCAAUGGGAGAGACAGAAGACAGAAGCCCACGAGAAAUGGUGCCGCCUCCUUGGAGCAGGGAGCAGAGAGGGGGGCUUUGCUUCUCCGGGGGCCAUGAAUGGUGCUUGCGGGGCUUGGAUCAGAACCAUCAUGACUUUGCUGCAGGACCACAGUCGGUGGGUUUGAGCAGCUUGCUUGCUGCUUUCAACCUGCCGUGCCCACAGGCAGGAGCCCUGGUGGUUGUGGCCCUGGGGCCCUGGGGGCCCCCCAAGUCCUGACACAGAACAGACUGGCUCUGAGAGCCAGCAGGGUGUGGGAGGGACGUCAGGAAGGGGCUGCCGGGGAAGCGAAGUUAUCUACUCAUCCAUGAGUCUGCCUUAGGACUGUUUUCUCUCUUGAGAUUCCCCUGCCCAGAGGCAGCCAGAAAGUUUGCUAACUUCAGUGACUUCCUAGUGACCCUCGUUCUGUGUCCUUAGAGCAAGGAGGGUCUACUCAUAGCCUUUGCCAUGGACAAAGGGUCUUGGGUCUCAGAAGACAAUAACAUGGGGAUUGUGUGUUUUCUCAGUAUCCAAAAGGUGACAUAACACCUGCCAAGAUGUACGUACGACAGGCUAGAGGAAGCUCAGAAACCAUUGUGGGGAACUCUUAGCUGGGGUUCCCAGAACAGGAGCGAGGAGAGGCAAAGCCCUUGAAUGUCUUUCCAGGCCUAGCCUCCCUCUACUACAGGAGGAAGAGAGGUGUGGGGUGCUCCUGACUUUCCUUUCACCCCACAUUUCCUAGCUGCAGGGGUUCCGGGAGAGUAGAAUGACCGCUCAAAUACCUGCUAGUGUAUCCUGGAUCCCGUUCCAGGGUCCUGAGCCCGAGGCUGAGAAGUUCGGAGAGUGCACACACUCACAUAGACACAAACAUACACCCAGCAAAUAACUGAAAUGAGGGAGCUAAAGAGGCAGCCUGAGGUCUGUGGGUCUGCGGACUGUGCUGAAAGCAGAGGGGACAGGCCAAAGGCAGCCGCCUGUGUGGAUGAAGUUGGGGGGCUUCCUUGGCAGCCAGGCCCCUUGUCAGCUCAGCUGGCUGCCAGAAGACAGAUAUGAGGUUGCAGAAGGAAAAUACAACACAAACGACAUAACACCACAGAGUUGGGCUGGCCUUUCUUCUUGUACUAGGAACUGAAGGACUCAUGCUUGGCCCCGGGUACCAUACCAAGUCUCUAUUCUGGGGAUGGCAGGACUCAGCUUGAACCCUGUGGCCAGCCUGGGUGGCAUACACUUGGCUCAAGUCAGGCCAGUCCUGGGCCCUGCAGCUGGCAUUGUCGGCCUGUUAUUCUUAUCCUCUGGCUCACAGAGGGUGGCCAUUGGUCUGGCUCACUUGGCUCCUCUGCCUUGCACUGGCCAUUGAGCUGCCCUGGAAAACCAUCAUCACUGGUACUGAAGUUUCCUAGAGUAGCCCUCAGGACUCAGCUCACCUACCCCCUGAGAACCUGAUUCUUCAGUGUGACUAUCAUUUAUUUGGAAAAUAUUAGAAAAGAGGCUGAAUUAGGGAUGAAGGAUCAGAAGGCUGUGCCUCAAGACUCCGUCCAGGUCAGUUCUCAGCAGAAAAGUGAGGCUGAUUCAUAUUCCCUCUCUCCGCCGGAGGUUGUGAAUCUCACAUACCUUUUAUGACCUGGAUACGGUGAACCCGUCCCUGAAAUCAGAAGAAUACUCUAGGCCUACCUGAAAGUGCCGAGUUACAAAUCAGAUCCAUACCUGGAGACUCUCAGGAAGAAACAGAAGGAGAAAGCAGGUUUUGUCACUGUUUUGGGAAACAACUCCUCAGUAUUGAGACGUUGUUGGUAUCUGCAAGGGCUUUCUGUCUCAAGAACAUCCCUUACUUCGGGAGCUGGGAGGAUAACUCUAAGGAACUUUUCCCAGGCAGGUUGCCAGUUCCUUCCUCACUCAAGUGACCUCCUCUGAGAGGUUUUCUUCUUGGAAGGGAGGAUCUGCAGCCACAGGGGUCUCAGCCUGGUUUGGGGUGCAUUUUUCCUUUGUGUUCAAACCCACAAGGAGAAUCAAUGGCCUCUAGCUUCUCUUCUUCUAGGUGUGUAGACAGGCCUAGACUGGUUAAACUACCAGAGCCUUAGAAAGUCACCAAACUGUGAUCAGAUCAGGGGUCUUGAGCCACAGAAAAUAAGAAAAACUUACUUUGACCUUCAUCCAUGAGAUCUGGGCUGGAGUUAUCAAAAGUUCCUAUAAUUUUUCUUUCCUCUAGUUCUUAGAAAAAAUGGGCAUUAGAGCCAUGUAUGAGGGUGUCGGCCUCCUCCAAAGGAGCCCCUCCAUUGGCAUCCUCCAGCAGGGGAAUCGACAGGAGGCCAGGCUCCACACUGCCCAUCACAGUAGCCACACCUGUGGGGAGGGAUGCAGGAAACCCAGAGAGCUGCUGACAACUGGGAUACCCCAGAAGUCCUCUUUCCUUUCUCAGACUCCAUGGCCUCUUUCCAGGGCUACACAAGGGCAGGAGAGCAGGUUAUAAAUGCUCUCCAGGACUCUGGAGUUGUGUGGUCCCAACCAGAUACGCAGACAGGAUCCUGGCACAUGAGGGUGACAGCACACAGAGAGAAGGCUUGCGUGGCUGAGAGGCAGCCCAGCGGAGAGCAUGUGAUGGGCAACCACGUGCUUAGGGCCUGGGGCUGGGAGUCCAGGAGGGAGGAGAAAGGGAUGCCUGUGCUCCCUAAGUGCCAUGGCACAGAAGUCAUAGGGUUUGGUGCAAGUUGAGCCACACUUAACCACACAUGGGCCUCAGAUCAGAGCUGAAAAGCACAGAGGGUGGGCAGGUGUACUGAAACCAGGAGCCCUCUCUCUUGCCUUCCAUUCCCUUCCUGGACCCUAUUCUCCUGCCUACUCUUCCUCCUCUCUUCCCAGGAAUCUAGCUGAAUUUAUUCCUGCUUCUGUCACCCCUCACCUGCAUGCUGAGGGCCCCUGCACCUCAAAUCCAUGACUCCAUGGGCUGCAAGGAACCAUGGCUGAGUUCUAAGGAGGAGGAGGAAGGAGCUGGGUGCAGUUACUUCUUGGUUAAGAGAGAAAGGCAACACCGUGGGGCAGGUGCGGGAGAGGAAGGGGGUGUCAAGGAGGGAGAAACCCCAGGAUGACUUUAGGUACCUGAUUGUGCUCUUGAAACUGACAAGGCUUUCUGACCAGUGAGAGAGCUGCCCCAACCCUGGCCUCAUACUCCUCUCUGGGCUGGUCAGGGAGAGAAGUCUGAGGUGAAGGGGCUGGACUUUGCAGUGAGGGGCUCUCUCCAGUGUCCUAAGGGUUUUGCUGGUGUUACUGCCAGCCCUGCACUCCUAUGCUGAGCCACUGUGGCCUUAGUCUUUUGUCACCCUACGUACCCACCCCCACCAUGGGCAGAACAUGCAGAGAGAGGCAGUAGGGAUGUGGAGGUAGGAUGCCCCAUCCUGGACCUUGCAGUGGGGCUGGGGUGGUGACAAUCCUAACUGUUUUCCAUUAGAAUGGGAGCAGAUAGAGAAGGGAAAGAAGAAAGUAGGAAAUAAAUAAAACCCAAGGGAUGAUAUUCUCAUUUCAAACCAGCAGCAAGCAGCAGGCAAGAGUCAACAGUGCUAAGAGCAAGCCUGCCCUUCCCAAAGAUACCUUCUUCUUGGCCAGCAGCAAAUCCUGGUAAGCAUUUGACCGGAGGAAGCGGGCAUAGCUGUCACUCUUCAUCAGCUUGUAGAUGUGCUCC